GAUGAACGCUGGCUGUGUGGAUAAGGCAUGCAAGUCGAAAGCAUUUAGUUGCUUGGCGAACGAGGUAGUAACACGUAGGAUUACAUGCCCUUGAGUCAGGGAUAACCCGGAGAAAUCCGGAAUAAUACCUGAUAGUCCCUUCGGGGUAAAGAUUUAUCGCUCAAGGAUUGGCCUGCGGGGUAUCAGCUUGUUGGUAGUGUAAAGGACUACCAAGGCUAUGACGCCUAGGGGAGGUGAGAGCCUGACCCCCACCGAUGGAACUGAGACACGGUCCAUACUCCUACGGGAGGCCGCAGUCGAGAAUCUUCCACAAUGGACGAAAGUCUGAUGGAGCGACACAGCGUGGUCGACGACGCGUUUCGGCGUGUAAAGACCUUUUAUGAGUGAAGAAAUUAUUGACAUUAGCUCAUGAAUAAGGGGCUGCUAAUCACG
rnacentral:rRNA from 1 species